rnacentral:rRNA from 1 species
UCGGGUUGUAAAGCACUUUUGUCCGGAGAGAAAACUUCGGCCCUAAUACGGCGGGAGGAUGACGGUACCGGAAGAAUAAGCACCGGCUAACUACGUGCCAGCAGCGCGGUAAUCGUAGGGUGCGAGCGUUAAUCGGAAUUACUGGGCGUAAAGCGUGCGCAGGCGGUUCGUUAAGACAGAUGUGAAAUCCCCGGGCUUAACCUGGGAACUGCAUUUGUGACUGGCGAGCUAGAGUAUGGCAGAGGGGGGUAGAAUUCCACGUGUAGCAGUGAAAUGCGUAGAGAUGUGGAGGAAUACCGAUGGCGAAGGCAGCCCCCUGGGCCAAUACUGACGCUCAUGCACGAAAGCGUGGGGAGCAAACAGGAUUAGAUACCCUGGUGGUCCACGCCCUAAACGAUGUCAACUAGUUGUUGGGGAUUCAUUUCCUUAGUAACGUAGCUAACGCGUGAAGUUGACCGCCUGGGGAGUACGGUCGCAAGAUUAAAACUCAAAGGAAUUGACGGGGACCCGCACAAGCGGUGGAUGAAUGUGGAUUAAUUCGAUGCAACGCGAAAAACCUUACCUACCCUUGACAUGGUCGGAACCCUGCUG